rnacentral:rRNA from 1 species
GUGGGGAAUUUUGGACAAUGGGCGCAAGCCUGAUCCAGCAAUGCCGCGUGCAGGAAGAAGGCCUUCGGGUUGUAAACUGCUUUUGUACGGAACGAAACGGUCCUGGCUAAUAUCCGGGGCUAAUGACGGUACCGUAAGAAUAAGCACCGGCUAACUACGUGCCAGCAGCCGCGGUAAUACGUAGGGUGCGAGCGUUAAUCGGAAUUACUGGGCGUAAAGCGUGCGCAGGCGGUGCUGUAAGACAGGCGUGAAAUCCCCGGGCUCAACCUGGGAAUUGCGCUUGUGACUGCAGUGCUGGAGUGCGGCAGAGGGGGAUGGAAUUCCGCGUGUAGCAGUGAAAUGCGUAGAUAUGCGGAGGAACACCGAUGGCGAAGGCAAUCCCCUGGGCCUGCACUGACGCUCAUGCACGAAAGCGUGGGGAGCAAACAGGAUUAGAAACCCCUGUAGUCC